GACGAACGCUGGCGGCGUGCUUAACACAUGCAAGUCGAACGGAAAGGCCCUGCUUGCAGGGUACUCGAGUGGCGAACGGGUGAGUAACACGUGGGUGAUCUGCCCUGCACUUCGGGAUAAGCCUGGGAAACUGGGUCUAAUACCGGAUAUGACCUUCCAUGUAGUGUGGGGGGUGGAAAGAUUUAUCGGUGUGGGAUGAGCCCGCGGCCUAUCAGCUUGUUGGUGGGGUAAUGGCCUACCAAGGCGUCGACGGGUAGUCGGCCUGAGAGGGUGGACGGCCACAUUGGGACUGAGAUACGGCCCAGACUCCUACGGGAGGCAGCAGUGGGGAAUAUUGCACAAUGGGCGGAAGCCUGAUGCAGCGACGCCGCGUGGGGGAUGACGGCCUUCGGGUUGUAAACCUCUUUCGACAGGGACGAAGCUUCGGUGACGGUACCUGUAUAAGAAGCACCGGCUAACUACGUG
rnacentral:rRNA from 1 species